GAUGAACGCUAGCUACAGGCUUAACACAUGCAAGUCGAGGGGAAACGAUAUUGGAAGCUUGCUUCCGAUAGGCGUCGACCGGCGCACGGGUGAGUAACGCGUAUCCAACCUUCCGUACACUCAGGGAUAGCCUUUCGAAAGAAAGAUUAAUACCUGAUGGUAUGAUGAGAUUGCAUGAUAGCAUCAUUAAAGAUUUAUCGGUGUACGAUGGGGAUGCGUUCCAUUAGGUAGUAGGCGGGGUAACGGCCCACCUAGCCUGCGAUGGAUAGGGGUUCUGAGAGGAAGGUCCCCCACAUUGGAACUGAGACACGGUCCAAACUCCUACGGGAGGCAGCAGUGAGGAAUAUUGGUCAAUGGACGAGAGUCUGAACCAGCCAAGUAGCGUGCAGGAUGACGGCCCUAUGGGUUGUAAACUGCUUUUAUAAGGGAAUAAAGUGAGUCUCGUGAGACUUUUUGCAUGUACCUUAUGAAUAAGGACCGGCUAAUUCCGUGCCAG
rnacentral:rRNA from 1 species